rnacentral:rRNA from 1 species
AGCUGCAGUCGAGAUCUUUCGCAAUGGGCGCAAGCCUGACGAAGCGACGCCGUGUGAGCGAAGAAGGCCUUCGGGUUGUAAAGCUCUUUCGCUWGGGAACAAGAAAGAYGGGAUAAUACCUUGUCAAUUUGAUGGUACUUGGAGAAAGAAGCACCGGCUAACUC